rnacentral:pre_miRNA from 1 species
UUCCACAGCUUUCUUGAACGUCUGUGCCCUUUCAGGAACUAUCAGAUAAUUUUCAUGCAGUUCCAAUAGCACAAAAACAGUUCAAGAAAGCUGUGAAA